rnacentral:tRNA from 1 species
GCCCGGCUAGCUCAGUCGGUAGAGCACGAGACUGAAAAACUCGAGGUCGUGGGUUUGAGUACCGCGUCGGAUG